rnacentral:rRNA from 1 species
UACGUAGGGACCGAGCGUUGUCCGGAAUCAUUGGGCGUAAAGAGCGUGUAGGCGGCCAUUUAAGUCCUGCGUGAAAUCUUGCGGCUCAACCGCAAGCGGUCGUGGGAAACUGGGUGGCUAGAGUGCGGGAGAGGAGAGUGGAAUUCCUGGUGUAGCGGUGGAAUGCGCAGAUAUCAGGAAGAACACCUGUGGCGAAAGCGGCUCACUGGACCAUAACUGACGCUGAUGCACGAAAGCUAGGGGAGCAAACAGG